GAUGAACGCUGGCGGCGUGCCUAAUACAUGCAAGUCGAGCGAACUGAUUAGAAGCUUGCUUCUAUGACGUUAGCGGCGGACGGGUGAGUAACACGUGGGCAACCUGCCUGUAAGACUGGGAUAACUUCGGGAAACCGAAGCUAAUACCGGAUAGGAUCUUCUCCUUCAUGGGAGAUGAUUGAAAGAUGGUUUCGGCUAUCACUUACAGAUGGGCCCGCGGUGCAUUAGCUAGUUGGUGAGGUAACGGCUCACCAAGGAAACGAUGCAUAGCCGACCUGAGAGGGUGAUCGGCCACACUGGGACUGAGACACGGCCCAGACUCCUACGGGAGGCAGCAGUAGGGAAUCUUCCGCAAUGGACGAAAGUCUGACGGAGCAACGCCGCGUGAGUGAUGAAGGCUUUCGGGUCGUAAAACUCUGUUGUUAGCGAAGAACAAGUACGAGAGUAACUGCUCGUACCUUGACGGUACCUAACCAGAAAGCCACGGCUAACUACGUGCCAGCCGCCGCAGUAAUAC
rnacentral:rRNA from 1 species